UACAGAGGGUGCAAGCGUUAAUCGGAGUUACUGGGCGUAAAGGGCGCGUAGGCGGUGUAUUAAGUGAGAUGUGAAAUCCCUGGGCUUAACCUAGGAACUGCAUCUCAUACUGGUACGCUAGAGUAUUGUAGAGGGUAGUGGAAUUUCCGGUGUAGCGGUGAAAUGCGUAGAGAUCGGAAGGAACACCAGUGGCGAAGGCGGCUACCUGGACAAAUACUGACGCUGAGGCGCGAGAGCGUGGGGAGCAAACAGG
rnacentral:rRNA from 1 species